CCUCCGGGUGGCAGCAGUGAGGAAUAUUGGUCAAUGGGCGGAAGCCUGAACCAGCCAAGUCGCGUGAGGGAUUAAGGCCCUGCGGGUCGUAAACCUCUUUUGCCGGGGAGCAUAGGUCCGGACGUUUCCGGGCCGGGAGAGUACCCGGAGCAAAAGCCUCGGCUAACUCCGUGCCAGCCGCCGCGGUAAUACGGAGUAUGCGAGCGUUAUCCGGAUUUAUUGGGUUUAAAGGGUGCGUAGGCGGACUGUUAAGUCAGCGGUAACAGCCCGGGGCUCAGCCCGGGGGAGCCGUGGAAACUGGAUGGAUUGAGAUGUCGAGAGGUAUGCGGAAUGCGCAGGGUAGCGGUGAAAUGCUUAGAUAUUGCGCAGAACUCCGAUUGCGAAGGCAGCAUACCGGCGGCGAUCUGACGCUGAGGCACGAAAGCGUGGGUAUCGAACAGGAUUAGAUACCCGAGUAGUC
rnacentral:rRNA from 1 species